rnacentral:rRNA from 1 species
AGCCUGCCCAGUGACUCUGUUCAACGGCCGCGGUAUCCUAACCGUGCGAAGGUAGCGUAAUCACUUGUUCUUUAAAUGUGGACUAGUAUGAAUGGCAUCACGAAGGUUAUACUGUCUCCUUUUUCUAAUCAGUGAAACUAAUCUCCCCGUGAAGAAGCGAGGAUAAAACUAUAAGACGAGAAGACCCUAUGGAGCUUUAAACAUUUAUAACACUUGCUAAAUAAAAUACAAAUUUCAGAAUUAUUUACUCUUUAAGCAACUUGUCUAUAAGUUUUUGGUUGGGGUGACCGCGGAGCAUAAUACAACCUCCAUGUUGAAAGAUCUAUUUCUAAGCUAAGAGCUACACCUCUAAGCAUCAACAUAUUGACAUCCAUUGACCCAAUAUAUUUGAACAACGAACCAAGUUACCCUAGGGAUAACAGCGCAAUCCACUUCAAGAGCUCCUAUCGACAAGUGGGUUUACGACCUCGAUGUUGGAUCAGGGUUUCCCAGUGGUGCAGCCGCUACUAAAG